GACGAACACUGGCGGCGUGCUUAACACAUGCAAGUCGAACGGAAAGGCCCUGCUUUUGUGGGGUGCUCGAGUGGCGAACGGGUGAGUAACACGUGAGUAACCUGCCCUUGACUUUGGGAUAACUUCAGGAAACUGGGGCUAAUACCGGAUAGGAGCUCCUGCUGCAUGGUGGGGGUUGGAAAGUUUCGGCGGUUGGGGAUGGACUCGCGGCUUAUCAGCUUGUUGGUGGGGUAGUGGCUUACCAAGGCUUUGACGGGUGGCCGGCCUGAGAGGGUGACCGGCCACAUUGGGACUGAGAUACGGCCCAGACUCCUACGGGAGGCAGCAGUGGGGAAUAUUGCACAAUGGGCGGAAGCCUGAUGCAGCAACGCCGCGUGCGGGAUGACGGCCUUCGGGUUGUAAACCGCUUUCGCCUGUGGCGAAGCGUGAGUGACGGUAAUGGGUAAAGAAGCACCGGCUAACUACGUG
rnacentral:rRNA from 1 species